GUGGUUUGUCGCGUUGUUCGUGAAAUCUCACGGCUUAACUGUGAGCGUGCGGGCGAUACGGGCAGACUUGAGUACUGCAGGGGAGACUGGAAUUCCUGGUGUAGCGGUGGAAUGCGCAGAUAUCAGGAGGAACACCGGUGGCGAAGGCGGGUCUCUGGGCAGUAACUGACGCUGAGGAGCGAAAGCGUGGGGAGCGAACAGGAUUAGAUACCCUGGUAGUCCACGCCGUAAACGGUGGGUACUAGGUGUGGGUUUCCUUCCUUGGGAUCCGUGCCGUAGCUAACGCAUUAAGUACCCCGCCUGGGGAGUACGGCCGCAAGGCUAAAACUCAAAGAAAUUGACGGGGGCCCGCACAAGCGGCGGAGCAUGUGGAUUAAUUCGAUGCAACGCGAAGAACCUUACCUGGGUUUGACAUGCACAGGACGCCGGCAGAGAUGUCGGUUCCCUUGUGGCCUGUGUGCAGGUGGUGCAUGGCUGUCGUCAGCUCGUGUCGUGAGAUGUUGGGUUAAGUCCCGCAACGAGCGCAACCCUUGUCUCAUGUUGCCAGCGGGUAAUGCCGGGGACUCGUGAGAGACUGCCGGGGUCAACUCGGAGGAAGGUGGGGAUGACGUCAAGUCAUCAUGCCCCUUAUGUCCAGGGCUUCACACAUGCUACAAUGGCCGGUACAAAGGGCUGCGAUGCCGCGAGGUUAAGCGAAUCCUUUUAAAGCCGGUCUCAGUUCGGAUCGGGGUCUGCAACUCGACCCCGUGAAGUC
rnacentral:rRNA from 1 species